AGACCACUCAGGCUGCAUCAUGAGGACUAGUUUCCAGAAGAGGUUCCAGGCUGAUGAAAGGAAAGCCAAUUACAAGAUAGUUCCAAGAAUAGCAGGCAAGCAGACUCCUGUCUCCAUGAACUCCCUCUCUGACCUGAAUUGAAGUAUAGUCCAUUGGCUCCUGUGCCGGCACGACCUUAUACAGCAGGGAGGAUUGGAUACAGCUGAAGUCAAAGGUGAUCAACUUUGGGAGUGGAGAAAUCAAGAAGAGGGAACAAUCAAUGUCGUGGCAGACAAAUUACAGCAACUUCUGUGUUGAACAUGCUUGACCCUUCUGCCCAGACUGAUUUUAGGAGCCAGAAAGAAAUAAGGACAAAAGGACAGAAUCUUUCUUAAUUCAACACUGUUUUUGUGUUGGCCUUCCUAGCAGGUUGUAAAUCCUACAUAUACUAUGUGAUACCUCAUAUCCCAUCACCUGCCUGGUCUUCUCUUUCUUCCUUUAGCUCUAAUCUGGGAGCUGAGAAAGGUACCAGGACUCUUCUCAGUCCCUUGCAUACAUUUUCCUCUCUCACCCUCGCAGAAGCUCACACCAUAUUACUGAUGAGGACAAGUAACUUGCCAAGAUCUUUGAAGUAGAAAACUGCAGAGGCAGAAUUUGAAUCCUGGACAGUCUGAUCCAGAGAAUCUUUCAUAUAAAAUAGACUGCAUCCCUAAAGGAGAAAAUCUGAAACACAAUAUGACACUUAAACAGAUAUGUCUGCUUACGUGUCUAAUUUCCCACUGGCCUAUGAGCAAUGUGAGUGGAGGGAUAAUUCAUAUUCACUUCUGUAGCCCCCAUGCCUGGCACAUUGGGAACACUCGAUAAGCAUUUGUUGAAAGAUGAAUGAAUUUGUUAAUUAAUACCCAUCUCUCUUCUUUAUCCUGCACCUGAAUUACUGCCAAAACCUUUAAAAUGGCCUUUUCACCUCUAUGCUUCACUACCUCUGACUGAGUUUCCACAGCUAACAUGAUUAACUUGACACUAUUACUCUGAAAUUACUCAAUAGCACCCCCCCCAUCAAAAGCAUAAAGUGCAAGUUUCUCUUCCUUUAUCUAUCUUUAGAGUGUUAUCUCUUUCCUCUCUAUCCCACACCAUACAACCUACACUUCACCCCUCUGCUGAAUAAUUAUGGAAAUCUGAGUUAUUGGCAGCUUCCCUAAUACAAACUUUUGAGCUUUUGUUUCAAAGCUUUGAGCUUUUGUGCAUGCAAUUUCCUCCACCAGGAUGGCCUUAGUCUCCCCACCCCCACCACUCCUCCCUGGCCUUAUUUACCUGGCAAACUCCUAUCCCUCUGUUAUGAACUGAAUGUUUGUGUCCCCUCAAAACUCUCAUGGUAAAACUCUACCUCCCACCCAAAAUGAUGGCAUUAGGAGGUGGGGUCUUUGGGAGGUAAUUAGGAUUAGAUGAGGUCAUGAAAGUGGAGCUUCAUGAAUGGGAUUAGUGCCUUUCUAAGAGUCACAAGAGAGCUUGCUUCCUCUCUGCUCUCUAUCAAGGAGAAGUUGGCAUCUGUAACCCAGAAGAUACCCCUCACCAGAAGUCAACCAUGCUGGUAUCCUGAUCUCAGACUUCCAGCCUCCAGCAGUGUGAGAAAUAAAUGUCUGUUGUUCAUAAGCCACCUGGUCUAUGGUACUUUGUGAUAGCAGCCCAAACUGACUUAGACAACCUCCUUCAAGAAUUAGCUUAAGCAACGCCUCCUUGAAAUUCACCUAUUGCCUGAGAACUCAGUGUUUUCUUCAUCUUACAUGGGGUCCACUAUGCAAACUCUUAUAUGAUGCUUUCACUGUCUAC
rnacentral:lncRNA from 1 species